UACGGGGGGUGCGAGCGUUGUCCGGAAUCACUGGGCGUAAAGGGCGCGUAGGCGGCCACCGCAAGUCGACUGUGAAAUCUCCGGGCUUAACCCGGAAAGGUCAGCCGAUACUGCGGGGCUAGAGUGCAUAAGGGGCAACUGGAAUUCUCGGUGUAGCGGUGAAAUGCGUAGAUAUCGAGAGGAACACCUGCGGCGAAGGCGGGUUGCUGGGCUGACACUGACGCUGAUGUGCGAAAGCUAGGGGAGCGAACGGG
rnacentral:rRNA from 1 species